UGAAUAGACCUUGGCUUGGUUCCGUUUUAAAGUGAAGUGAGACGAACAAAACCAAAACAACAGAAAAGAUUUGCUUUAUUAGACUGAAGGAAACGUAACCUCUAAUAGACUAAGUUGUCUGCCAUGAGUGAGGUGGCUGGCACAGAGUUUAGAAAUUAGAGUCAUAUGGCACUUUAUUCAGCGCUGACUCUACAAACACACACCUGGCACAACCUCAACCACUCUUACAAUCCUCUCCAUGACCUGGAAAUCAGACGUGUGGUUCUCCUGCUGCCUGCUCCCUUCAGGGGAGCAGGAACUCAGACGCGUCCUCCGGGUCAGCGUCCCAAACUACUGCCCCUCCGGCGGCUCUGCUUGCUGCUCUCGGUGGCCUCAUGCGCCCUCUUGUGGCCAUUACUUGACACGGCCCCCACUCAGGGGUGGGAGGAGCUCCUUCCCUCAGCGUCUGAUCCAGUCAAUGACGGCUCAGAGGGAAAAUGGUCUGAGGCUCCCGGGGGUAAGCGUUUUGGUGAUAUGCACAUGGCUGUUUCCUACAAGUAGCGUCAGGAUGGGUGAGGCAGGAAGGUUCCAGAAUCAAUGCCCUGUCCUCAACUAUGACAGCCUGUGCCGUGGGAUGAUUCUGUGUCACAAAUCCAGCCUCCUCCCUUUGAAAAGCUCACAGACCCAUAGAGGACCAGAGCUUGCCAGCAGUCACCCAGGAUCCUGGUAACCUGACGGUGUGUUCUUGAUGGCCUGUUUAGAAACCAUGUCCAAGAACUAGAGCAUUAACUUGAAGAAAGAGGUUAAGAGCUUUCUCUCCAAUCAUUCCAAAAGUAACGGGCCUUCGCUUCCUCCUUCUACAUAAUUUGUGUCAAAAUAAGAACCUCACUUAGAGAUUGGACGUUUGUAGAAGGUAUUUUGCUUUCAGGGCCAGGGAGACUUCGCCCCUUCCAGUGUCUGGAAACUUCAAAGGCUGGGUAUCAUCACACACUUCCAGACUAGGAUAAAAUAGGAGGUCUCAGCUGGACAGGAUAGGUAUGGGUUUGCCAGAAGGUUCAGUUAUCAAUUGCAGAGGGAAAAGGCAACAAUCUAUGGAGCAAGGCGUGGGGGGAAGAAAAGAGAUAUUCUGCUGCAAUAAUGUCUAGUCUGAGUUCUCAUCCUGAGCUCUGUGCUUCGUCUUAGCAGAGAAGUCUGGCAAAGCGAGAAGCACCGAGUGCUGUGAGUCUGAAUCUUGGCUAUAACCUGGCCCUAAGAUUCUCAAAACCUAGAGGGGAGUGACCGCAGCUAAUAAAUCCGCAUUUCAAAGCUCCAAGCAAUUUUCUGUCUUGCAGGAAAUAAAGACUGGAGUAUACUUUUGAAGCAGC
rnacentral:lncRNA from 1 species